AUGGAGACACACACACUUAAUGUGCAUGCAGAAAUAAUCCCACUAACCUUUACACACACUCAUGGAGAAACACACGCACAGUCACACACACACACACAGUCAGAUACACACACAGACACAAACACACUUACACACACACACAUAGACACAUACACACAGUCAGAUACACACACACACACAAACACACUUACACACCAGGAAAAGAUACCACUUACAUUUACACAUACUCCCUCAAAAACACACACAUGGUCAGACACUCACAAAGGCACACAGACAGAAUCCGUCACACACUCAGACACACACACAGACACAAACACCCAGUCGGACACACUCACAGACACACACACAGACACACACACCCACUCAGACACACACACAGACACAAACACCCAGUCGGACACACACACAGACACAAACACCCAGUCGGACACACUCACAGACACACACACAGACAAAAACACCCAGUCGGACACACUCACAGACACACACACAGACACACACACCCACUCGGACACACUCACAGACACACACACCCAGUCGGACACACACACAGACACAAAGACCCAGUGUGACACAGACACAGACACACACACCCAUAGGGACACACACCCAGACACACACACCCAGUCGGACACACACACAGACACACACACCCAGUGGGACCCAGACACACACACCCACUCGGACACACUCACAGACACACACACCCAGUCGGACACACACACAGACACAAAGACCCAGUGUGACACAGACACAGACACACACACCCAUAGGGACACACACACAGACACACACACCCAGUGGGACCCAGACACACACACCCACUCGGACACACACACAGACACACACACCCAGUCGGACACACACACAGACACACACACCCAGUCGGACACACACACAGACACAAACACCCAGUCGGACACACACACCCAGUCGGACACACACACAGACACACAGACCCAGUGGGACCCAGACACACACACAGACACACAGACCCAAUGUGACCCAGACACACACACCCAGUGGGACACACACACAGACACACACACCCAGUGGGACCCAGACACACACACCCAGUGUGACCCAGAGCAGGUGUGUUUUGAGCGGACCCUGGGCCAGUAUGAUGCCCUGGUGAGCUCCGGCCUGAAGGUGCUCAUCGUUCAGACGGGGGAGGAGGGGUCUACCCUGCCCCCCCCACUACUCCUCCUCACACUAUCUAAACGGCCACUCCGCUGGCACACACACACACACUCACACACACACUCACACUCACACUCACACACACCAUCUCAACAACGCUUCUGGAAGGAACUGAGAUACCGUAUGCCAGCACCUCGAAAGACAAUUCACCAAAACUCAAGUGCUGUCUGA
rnacentral:lncRNA from 1 species